UGGCUUUUUUCACUUAGCAUAAUGUUUUCAAGGUUCAUCUACACUGUAGCAUAUAUUAGUACAUAAUUCCUUUCUCUAUAGCUAAAUAAUAUUCCAUUGUAUGGAAACAUCACAUGUUAUCCACACAUCAUUUGCUGGGUUGUUUCCACUUCUUGGCUAUUAAAAAAUAAUGUUGCCAUGAACAAUCAUGUCCAAGUUUUUGUGUGGACUUAUGUUUUCAUUUUUAUUAGGUAUGUAUCUAGGAAAGGAACGGCUGGUUAUCAUAACUUCAUAUUUAACUUUCUGAUGAGCUGCCUGACUUUUUCCAGAGUGGCUGCACCAUUAUACUUUCCUCUCCACAAAUGUGUACAAGUUCCUAUUUCCUGGAAUCCUGAGGAUUUCCUUUAGUGAUUGUCAUUGGAUGAGUCUGCUUUCUCAGUACUCCUGGCCAGGAGGGAGACACAGAAGAGGAGGAAUGGCUGCAGGAUUACUGACAACCUGGUCACAGGUAUGUAGGAAAUUAUUCCAUUCCCAAAAAAACCAUUGCUAUUCCCGAAGGACACUUCUCUUGCCUGUGACCCACAGCUUUAUAGCACAGUGGGCUACCCCAGUUCUGGGCUUCUUAGAAUGGGAGAGAGAAUGCCUUAGGAAGUCUUUUGUUCCUACAACAUUUGUUAAUUUUUUUU